AACGAACGCUGGCGGCAUGCCUAACACAUGCAAGUCGAACGAGAUCUUCGGGUCUAGUGGCGCACGGGUGCGUAACGCGUGGGAAUCUGCCCUUUGGUUCGGAAUAACAGUUGGAAACGACUGCUAAUACCGGAUGAUGACGAAAGUCCAAAGAUUUAUCGCCAGAGGAUGAGCCCGCGUAGGAUUAGCUAGUUGGUGUGGUAAAGGCGAACCAAGGCGACGAUCCUUAGCUGGUCUGAGAGGAUGAUCAGCCACACUGGGACUGAGACACGGCCCAGACUCCUACGGGAGGCAGCAGUGGGGAAUAUUGGACAAUGGGCGAAAGCCUGAUCCAGCAAUGCCGCGUGAGUGAUGAAGGCCCUAGGGUUGUAAAGCUCUUUUACCCGGGAUGAUAAUGACAGUACCGGGAGAAUAAGCUCCGGCUAACUCCGUGCCAGCAGCCGCAGUAA
rnacentral:rRNA from 1 species